rnacentral:rRNA from 1 species
GACGAACGCUGGCGGCGUGCUUAACACAUGCAAGUCGAACGGUGAAGCGAGUGCUUGCACUCGUGGAUCAGUGGCGAACGGGUGAGUAACACGUGAGUAACCUGCCCAUCACUCUGGGAUAAGCACUGGAAACGGUGUCUAAUACUGGAUUCGACCAACCCUUGCAUGGGGUGUUGGUGGAAAGAUUUAUCGGUGAUGGAUGGACUCGCGGCCUAUCAGCUUGUUGGCGGGGUAAUGGCCCACCAAGGCGACGACGGGUAGCCGGCCUGAGAGGGUGACCGGCCACACUGGGACUGAGACACGGCCCAGACUCCUACGGGAGGCAGCAGUGGGGAAUAUUGCACAAUGGGCGAAAGCCUGAUGCAGCGACGCCGCGUGAGGGAUGACGGCCUUCGGGUUGUAAACCUCUUUCAGCAGGGAAGAAGCGAAAGUGACGGUACCUGCAGAAGAAGCACCGGCUAACUACGUG